rnacentral:tRNA from 2 species
CGCGACGUUCCGGGUGGACCGGGGCACAUGCUCUAUCGGGUGCGUCGCGGGUUCGAAUCCCGCCGUCGCGU